rnacentral:misc_RNA from 1 species
GAUGAAGAACGUAGCGAAAUGCGAUAAGUAAUGUGAAUUGCAGAAUUCCGUGAAUCAUCGAAUCUUUGAACGCACAUUGCGCCCCCUGGCAUUCCGGGGGGCAUGCCUGUCCGAGCGUCAUUUCUGCCCUCCAGCCCGGCUGGGUGUUGGGCGCUGUCCCCCCGGGGACACGCCCCAAAGGCAGUGGCGGCGCCGCGUCGGGUCCUCGAGCGUAUGGGGCUUUGUCACCCGCUCGGGACGGACUCGUCGGCGCUGGUCUUCCUCCAGGCGACCCUUCGGGGCUCGUCUUCCUUCGGUUGACCUCGGAUCAGGUAGGGUUACCCGCUGAACUUAAGCAUAUCAAUAGCGAGGA